CACGUAGGGGGCAAGCGUUGUCCGGAUUUAUUGGGCGUAAAGAGCUCGUAGGUGGUUCGGUAAGUCAGGUGUGAAACCUCCAGGCUCAACCUGGAGACGCCACUUGAUACUGCUGUGACUGGAGUCCGGUAGGGGAGCGUGGAAUUCCUGGUGUAGCGGUGAAAUGCGCAGAUAUCGGGAGGAACACCGGUGGCGAAGGCGGUUCUCUGGGCCUGUACUGGACGCUGAGGAACGAAAGC
rnacentral:rRNA from 1 species